rnacentral:rRNA from 1 species
AUUGAACGCUGGCGGCAGGCCUAACACAUGCAAGUGGAGCGGAGAGGCGGACGGGUGAGUAAUGCCUAGGAAUCUGCCUGGUAGUGGGGGAUAGCGUCGGGGAACGGGCGCAAAUAUCGCAUACUCUCAGCUGCGACUCGGUUGGAUUAGCUAGUUGGUGGGGUAACGGCCUACCAAGGCGACGAUCCGUAACUGGUCUGAGAGGAUGACCAGUCAUAAUGGAACUGAGACACGGUGCCGACGCCUCAGUGAGGCUGCAGUGGGGAAUAUUGGACAUUCGGCGAGACCUUGAUCGAGCCAAGCGGCGGCUGUGAACAAGGCCUUCGGUUCGUGAAGCACGCUGAGUUGGGAGGCGGUACCCGCAAAGGAAACACCGGCUAACUUCGUGCCAGCAGCCGCGGUAAUAC